AAAACAAAAAUCGGCGCAAUCCGCGCGGAUUGAUAUCUAGUUAUUAUUAUUAGUGUUAUUGUUUUACUGUUUGAAAAUCAAAUCAAGUUCCGUGCCAAACCUUCCUUCUAUUCUGUGUGACGGUGAGGUAAAACCCUAAUUCACAGAGACUUUAUUCUUUUGAUUUCUCUUGCAAGGAAGUUCGAUACGUUGAGUUACUUUACACAUAUAUGGGGGAACAAAGAAAACGGGGCUUGAAGCAAGGCCCGAUGAGCCGAAGAGAGAAUAUUUAGGAAAAAGUUUAUUGGAGAUGCGGGGUAUCGAUCCCCGUACCUCUCGCAUGCUAAGCGAGCGCUCUACCAUCUGAGCUACAUCCCCAUUGAUGUUAAACUGAAUUGAUUAUACUUUAUAUACUAAAUCACGAGUCACUCAACCAAUAAAAUUUUACCACAUAAUCAAAGAAAUAAAAAAAAUUAAAAUAAUAAAACAGAAAAAAAUUAAAGAACGCAAAAGAACAAACGUUGCAUUUUACGUGUUUCAAUUCUAAGACAAAAGAAAAAAAAAUCACUCCACCCCGUCGACACCUCCACGAUCCAACAUUCUCCGGAUAACUACGGUUAUUCUAUCAUAUAUAUUCUCCUUAUCUGAUUCAUGCAACGCUUCUUCUCCAAGAUAAAUUAUUGAUUCAUAUCAUUUUUUUGUUCUGGCUUAAUCUCAAUGAAUCUCACUCUUUUCUAUUACUAUGGCGUUUCUGUAUCAAACCUCAUUCGCUCACAUGUAGGGUUUUCUCAAAAACUCAAGAUUAUUCUUCCUUUCCAAACCCGUACGUAAAUCAAAGACAUAGAUUUCAAAAGAUGUGGAGAGGAAAAAAUAUAUCUCUAAUCUCUACCUAAAAUUACUGUCAAGAAAAAUAGAAUUACAGGGUUGGCGCGGAAAUGAAUUUCCAUAAUAUGAUUCAGUUUAGACGGCUGUGUAUUUAUACAAAGAAAGUGGAACAAUUUUCUGGUGCGGAUGAAA